rnacentral:rRNA from 1 species
UACGAAGGGGGCGAGCGUUGUUCGGAAUCACUGGGCGUAAAGGGCGCGUAGGCGGCCCUCCUUGUCGCGUGUGAAAGCCCCGGGCUCAACCUGGGAACGGCGCGCGAGACGGGGGGGCUGGAGUUCGGGAGAGGAGCGUGGAAUUCCCAGUGUAGAGGUGAAAUUCGUAGAUAUUCGCAAGAACACCAGUGGCGAAGGCGGCUCACUGGCCCGGUACUGACGCUGAGGUGCGAAAGCGUGGGGAGCAAACAGG